rnacentral:snRNA from 1 species
UGCAUUGCGCAGUGGAGUAUCAUAGCCAAUGAGAUUUAUCCAAGGCGCGAUUAUUGCUAAAUGAAAACUUAUAAGAGCCACAAGGGUGCAGUAGUUAGAGUGCAGUACUGCAGGCUACUUCUGCUGCCUGCUGGCUGCCUAUAAUUUGGCAG